UACGUAGGGGGCUAGCGUUGUCCGGAUUUAUUGGGCGUAAAGAGCGUGUAGGCGGCCAGGUAGGUCUGGUGUGAAAACUCGAGGCUUAACCGGGGAAAUGCGCGUGAUACUGGCGGGCUUGAGUUCGGGAGGGGUGAAUGGAACUCCAGGUGGAGCGGUGAAAUGCGUAGAUAUCUGGAGGAACACCGGUGGCGAAAGCGGUUCACUGGCCCGACACUGACACUGAGGUGCGAAAGCUAGGGUAGCAAACGGG
rnacentral:rRNA from 1 species